UUUAAUUUUAAUUUUAAUAUUAAUUUUGAAAUUAAAUUAAAAUUUUGAAUUUAUAAUUUUAAAGACUAAACUGAAAAAUAUGUAAAAUUUGGAGAUCAAAAUUGAUAUGCAAAAAAAAAGCUAUGUCUAUUAAUUUUAAUUUAUUUUUAACGAUUGAAAUAUAAUUAUAAUAAAAUUAAGAGAUUGAGUAUUUGAUUGUAAAAGUUAAAAACUCAAGUAAAAAACUGUUGAAACGUUGAGGACCAAUAAUGUAAUUAACUCUCUUUCUUUUUUUUUUAAAAAAACUUCAAAUAUCACUCAUGUGGCAUCACACUUUCUAAUUUUUGUACUCUAUGAUUUAAAGUGUAUUAAUUUAGUGUUGUGGUUUCAUUUUUAGUUUUUUAUUAUCAAUUUUAAUAAUUUUUUUCGUUAAAUUAGUAAUAAAGUUAAAACUAAAAAAUAAUAAAGUAAAUAUUCGAUAAACAUAGAUAGGAUAUCUGAAGUUUUUUAUGUAUAAUUUAAUAAAAUAUUUAUAAAAAAUUAAUAAAAAAGAUAAAAAUAAAACUAUAUAAUAUUAACUUGAUAUAUUUUAAACCAGAGGUACUAAAGUGAAAAAGUGGGAAACUAAGGGAGUGGUAUCUGAAGUUUAUUUUAUUUUAUUUUUUCUUUUCACUUUUUCCCCUUCUUAUAAUCUCUCUCUCAUUUCAUGCGGAGAGAGAGAGAGAGAGAGAGAGAAGAGAAGAGAAGGGAAAAGACUCGUAAAACCUUAGCNGAAACUAAGGGAGUGGUAUCUGAAGUUUAUUUUAUUUUAUUUUUUCUUUUCACUUUUUCCCCUUCUUAUAAUCUCUCUCUCAUUUCAUGCGGAGAGAGAGAGAGAGAGAGAGAGAAGAGAAGAGAAGGGAAAAGACUCGUAAAACCUUAGCGGCGAAGAUCGACAGAGGACGGGGAGGGGUCGGCAAUGGCGGAUCACGAGGCGCGGGGCGACGACUUCGAGAAGAAGGCGGAGAAGAAGCUCACGGGGUGGGGCCUCUUCGGAUCCAAGUACGAGGACGCCGCCGAUCUCUU
rnacentral:lncRNA from 1 species